rnacentral:rRNA from 1 species
AUUGAACGCUAGCGGGAUGCCUUACACAUGCAAGUCGAACGGAGUGGCGAACGGGUGAGUAAUGUAUCGGAACGUGCACAGUAGCGGGGGAUAACUACGCGAAAGAGUAGCUAAUACCGCAUACUAUUGGAGCGGCAGAUAUAGUAUUAGCUUGUUGGUGGGGUGACUGCUCCCAAAGGCGACGCUCCGGAGCUUGUUUGAGAGGACGACAAGCCACACUGGGACUGAGACACGGCCCAGACGCCUACGUGCGGCAGCAGUGGGGAAUGUGGGACAAUGGGGGAAACCCUGAUCCAGCCAUACCGGUUGUGGGAUGAAGGCCUUCGGGUUUUAAAGCACUUUUGGAAGGAGAGCGGUACCUGCAGAAUAAGCACCGGCUAACUACGUGCCAGCCGCCGCGGUAAUAG